UAAAUGUCUGGUAAUAAGCCAAACAACUCUUGAUACAAAGAUGGAAAUUGAUUAGGUCGUCCUAAAAGGGUGAGUAUGGAACCCAAAGGGAUGUAUUUAUUGGCACAAGGAAAAUAUAUCACUUGUUGGGGAAUAAAUAAUUUAAAAUCAAAGGAGAACAAUUCUUGGAUCCAUGAAGGAAUAAACUCUGAACCGAAGAGUAAAACUGGUAUGAACCAAC
rnacentral:lncRNA from 1 species